rnacentral:rRNA from 1 species
AGCGAACGCUGGCGGCAGGCCUAACACAUGCAAGUCGAACGAACUCUUCGGAGUUAGUGGCGGACGGGUGAGUAACACGUGGGAACGUGCCCUUAGGUUCGGAAUAACUCAGGGAAACUUGUGCUAAUACCGAAUGUGCUCUUCGGGGGAAAGAUUUAUCGCCUUUGGAUGGGCCCGCGUAUGAUUAGCUAGUUGGUGAGGUAAUGGCCCACCAAGGCGACGAUCAGUAGCUGGUCUGAGAGGAUGAUCAGGCACAGUGGGGAUGAGGCACGGCCCAAACUCCUACGGGAGGGAGCAGUGGGGAAUCUUGCGGAAUGGGCGAAAGCCUGACGCAGCCAUGCCGCGUGAAUGAUGAAGGUCUUAGGAUUGUAAAAUUCUUUCACCGGGGGCGAUAAUGACGGUACCCGGAGAAGAAGCCCCGGCUAACUUCGUG